rnacentral:ncRNA from 2 species
AAACAGCACUCUGGAGAGACCUGGCGCGGCCACCUUCGCGGUGCGCAAGCAGCCCAGGCGCCGAAGGUGCAAACCCGCUCGCGCGGGGCAACUCUCAGGCAAAAGGACAGAGGGGCGGAA